rnacentral:tRNA from 1 species
GAGGGUACAGCUCAGUGGUGGAGUGUGUGCUUAGUGUGCACAAGGUCCUGGGUUCAAUCCCCAGUAUCUCCA